GUUCCGCUUCAGCGUUUAAUUAUCCAAAGACAAAGUUUAGCGUGCUUCGCAACAAACACUUGUGAUGUCAGGAAAGCGUGAUUAGCAUUUCAUGAACGAUAUCUGACAUUUAAGACCAAGACGCUUCUACGUAUAGGACAGAUUAAGGUCAAGCGCGAGAAAACAACAACACUGAGAAAAUCAGACAAGUUUAUCGGCCGCAAAAAAACAUUUGAAUUUAAGAUGGAACAGGCUCCACCAUACACCUUUGGAAAACAGAAUCCUGAAUACACAUCAGAUCAAUCUAUUCAUCAAUCUCAGCCUGGUUACC